CACACUUCCCACAGCCAAGGCACAAUUUCUUUGGGUAUUACUUGUGUCCUUGAUCAGAACCUAUUUCAAUUAUGUUAUUUGUACUAGGAUGUUCAUUUAGAGUCAACAUCCCCAACCAUAUCCCUUUGACCCAUGGAUUCAAGCAGUUGAGUUUCUCCAGUGUUUUUACUCCCACAGUGUUUCCUCUGGAUGUGGAUAGUGCUUUUUCUCAUCCAAAUUGGAUUUCUGAAUCUAAAACAAGGCUUACUUUGUGCAUAUUCCCCCCAUACUUUUGUCACUUCUGUCAUCCAUGGUUAUGAAUCUAUUUUUUUUAAUGUCCCCAGGAUAAGGUCAGGAGUUGAAUCAAAGGGAUGUUAAUAGUAGAAAUUUCUGGGGCAACAAGGAAGGUGUUGGGUUCUUAUGACUUCAACAGGAGCUCCUAUUUCCAAGUUAAAGAAAUCCAGGGUACACCUGCCCAUACCUGCUCAACCUAGGGCCAAACACUCAGCCAAUAAAAGAUCACAGAGCACUUAUGAUAUGUCACAUCACCAAGGUAACAGGAGGGAUGGUGAUAAACAAAGGGUGGAGCCUGGGGAGAUCAUUUCUGAAAAGAAAAAGAUGAGUGAUAAAGUAGAGAACAAGGAAUACAAGAUGAAAGCAUGUGAUAGCUCUAUUGUGAAUUGACUGUAUGUUCAUCAAAUGAGAGAACAAAUGGAGCACUUUCAAAAUCAGAAGAAGCAAAGCAAUAAAGAAGUACUGAAUUUUCUGGUGAUAAACUAA
rnacentral:lncRNA from 1 species